AGUGGGAUAGCUGGGUCAAAUGGUGGUUCCAUUCCCAGUUUUCUGAGGAAUAUCUAUAUUGCUUCCAUAGUGGUUGCACCAAUUUGUAGUCCCACCAGCAAU
rnacentral:pre_miRNA from 1 species